rnacentral:rRNA from 1 species
CAUGCAAGUCGAACGGAAAGGCCCUUUCGGGGGUACACGAGUGGCGAACGGGUGAGUAACACGUGGGUGAUCUGCCCUGCACUUUGGGAUAAGCCUGGGAAACUGGGUCUAAUACCGAAUACACCCUGCUGGUCGCAUGGCCUGGUGGGGGAAAGCUUUUGCGGUGUGGGAUGGGCCCGCGGCCUAUCAGCUUGUUGGUGGGGUGAUGGCCUACCAAGGCGACGACGGGUAGCCGGCCUGAGAGGGUGUCCGGCCACACUGGGACUGAGAUACGGCCCAGACUCCUACGGGAGGCAGCAGUGGGGAAUAUUGCACAAUGGGCGCAAGCCUGAUGCAGCGAUGCCGCGUGAGGGAUGACGGCCUUCGGGUUGUAAACCUCUUUCAAUAGGGACGAAGCGUGAGUGACGGUACCUAUAGAAGAAGCACCGGCCAACUACGUGCCAGCAGCCGCGGUAAUACGUAGGGUGCGAGCGUUGUCCGGAAUUACUGGGCGUAAAGAGCUCGUAGGUGGUUUGUCGCGUUGUUCGUGAAAACUCACA